GUCCCUGAGUAAGUCUCUGGCGUCCCAAAUUGCCUGUUUUUCUCGCAGGCUCUAUUCCGUUCGCUGGUUCACCACCUCAGGGGAACGAUGGCCACGGAGUCCACAGCCACUGCCGCCGUCGCCACGGAGCUGGUUUCUGCCGACAAAAUUGAAGAUGUUCCUGCUCCUUCUACAUCUGCAGAUAAAGUAGAGAGUCUGGAUGUGGAUAGUGAAGCUAAGAAACUAUUGGGUUUAGGACAGAAACAUCUGGUGAUGGGGGAUAUUCCAGCAGCUGUCAAUGCAUUCCAGGAAGCAGCUAGUCUUUUAGGUAAGAAGUAUGGAGAGACAGCUAAUGAGUGUGCAUGUGGAAGAGGAAGAAGGAGAAAAAACAGAAGAUGAAUCUCUGGUAGAAAAUAAUGAUAACAUAGAUGAGGAAGCAAGGGAAGAGUUGAGAGAACAGGUUUAUGACGCCAUGGGAGAAAAAGAAGAAGCCAAAAAAACAGAAGACAAGUCUUUGGCAAAGCCUGAAACUGAUAAAGAACAGGACAGUGAAAUGGAGAAGGGUGGAAGAGAAGAUAUGGAUAUAAGUGAAUCUGCAGAGGAGCCACAGGAAAAAGUUGACUUGACUCUAGAUUGGUUAACUGAAACCUCUGAAGAGGCAAACGGAGGAGCAGCACCAGAAGGACCGAAUGAAGCUGAGGUCACUUCUGGGAAGCCAGAACAGGAAGUACCAGAUGCUGAGGAAGAAAAAUCAGUUUCUGGAACUGAUGUCCAA
rnacentral:sRNA from 1 species